rnacentral:rRNA from 1 species
CCUACGGGAGACAGCAGUGAGGAAUAUUGAUCAAUGGCCGGAAGGCUGAACCAGCCAUGCCGCGUGAAGGUCAGUGCCCUAUGGGCGUUAAACUUCUUUUGUGCGGGAGCAAUAAUGGUCACGUGUGGCCAGACGAGAGUACCGUACGAAUAAGCAUCGGCUAACUCCGUGCCAGCAGCCGCGGUAAUACGGGGGAUGCAAGCGUUAUCCGGAUUUAUUGGGUUUAAAGGGUGCGUAGGCUGUGAGGUAAGUCAGCGGUGAAAUGCCCCCGCUCAACGGGGUGAAGUGCCAUUGAUACUGCCUGGCUGGAAUGCGGAUGCCGUGGGAGGAAUGUGUGGUGUAGCGGUGAAAUGCAUAGAUAUCACACAGAACACCGAUUGCGAAGGCAUCUCACGAAUCCGCGAUUGACGCUGAUGCACGAAAGCGUGGGUAUCAAACAGGAUUAGAUACCCUAGUAGUC